rnacentral:tRNA from 1 species
GCUCUAUUGGCGCAAUCGGUUAGCGCGUUCGGCUGUUAACCGAAAGGUUGGUGGUUCAAGUCCACCAUGGAGCG